rnacentral:rRNA from 1 species
AUGGGAGCGGGGAUGAAGCGCGCGAGGGACAAGGAGGUAUUGUCGCUCGCGCUGGCGCUGACCACGGACUCACCGACGCCGUCCACGACGUCAGCGGACUCAGCCGGGUCACCGGCCAAGAAAUCACGGCGACGCGCGAGGGGCGCCGUGGUGGCCACAUCGGGUGAGGGGGAGUUCGUGUGCAAGACGUGCGGCCGUGCCUUCGUGUCGUUCCGGGCGCUAGGCGGGCACCGGACGAGCCACCUUCGGGGCCGUCAUGAGCUGGAGCUCGGUGUCGGCAUCGCCAGGGCCAUCAGAGAACGGAGAAGACGGGAGAACAAGCAGCACGAGUGCAGCAUCUGCGGCAUGGGGUUCGAGACGGGCCAGGCGCUCGGGGGACACAUGAGGCGUCACCGCGAGGAGAUGGCACUGCGCGGCCGCAGCGACGACGACCAGUGGGUGUGGCGCGGCGUCGCGCUACUGCCGGGUCAGGUGGUGACGGGGCACCAGGCCAGUGCCAACCAGCCACCCGUCUUGCUUAAGCUGUUCGUCUAG